CGCCUGCCCAGUGAAUAAUUAAACGGCCGCGGUACCCUAACCGUGCAAAGGUAGCGUAAUCAUUUGUCUACUAAUUAUAGACCUGUAUGAAAGGCAAAAUGAGGGUUUAACUGUCUCUUAUAAUAAAUCAAUUAAACUGAUCUCCUAGUAAAAAAGCUAGGAUAAUAACAUAAGACCAGAAGACCCUGUGAAGCUUAAAUCAAACUAUUAAACCAUAUAAUAACUACUUUCGGUUGGGGCGACCUUGGAAAAAAAAAGAACUUCCAAGACCCAGCACAGCUGAUAAUUGAACCAAGUUACUCCAGGGAUAACAGCGCAAUCUUCUUCAAGAGCCCAUAUCAAAAAGAAGGUUUACGACCUCGAUGUUGGAUCAGGACAUCCUAAUGGUGCAGCCGCUAUUAAGGGUUCGUUUGUUCAACGAUUAACAGUCCUACGUGAUCU
rnacentral:rRNA from 1 species